rnacentral:rRNA from 1 species
GGUCUUUCAAGUCAGGAGUGAAAGGCUACGGCUCAACCGUAGUAAGCUCUUGAAACUGGGAGACUUGAGGGCAGGAGAGGAGAGUGGAAUUCCUAGUGUAGCGGUGAAAUGCGUAGAUAUUAGGAGGAACACCAGUUGCGAAGGCGGCUCUCUGGACUGUAACUGACGCUGAGGCACGAAAGCGUGGGGAGCAAACAGGAUUAGAUACCCUGGUAGUCCACGCUGUAAACGAUGAGUACUAGGUGUCGGGGGUUACCCCCUUCGGUGCCGCAGCUAACGCAUUAAGUACUCCGCCUGG